UGAUCCUGGCUCAGAUUGAACGCUGGCGGCAGGCCUAACACAUGCAAGUCGAGCGGAUGAGAGGAGCUUGCUCCUUGAUUUAGCGGCGGACGGGUGAGUAAUGCCUAGGAAUCUGCCUGGUAGUGGGGGAUAACGUUCCGAAAGGAACGCUAAUACCGCAUACGUCCUACGGGAGAAAGCAGGGGACCUUCGGGCCUUGCGCUAUCAGAUGAGCCUAGGUCGGAUUAGCUAGUUGGUGAGGUAAUGGCUCACCAAGGCGACGAUCCGUAACUGGUCAGAGAGGAUGAUCAGUCACACUGGAACUGAGACACGGUCCAGACUCCUACGGGAGGCAGCAGUGGGGAAUAUUGGACAAUGGGCGAAAGCCUGAUCCAGCCAUGCCGCGUGUGUGAAGAAGGUCUUCGGAUUGUAAAGCACUUUAAGUUGGGAGGAAGGGCAUUAACCUAAUACGUUAGUGUUUUGACGUUACCGACAGAAUAAGCACCGGCUAACUUCGUGCCAGCAGCCGCGGUAAUACGAAGGGUGCAAGCGUUAAUCGGAAUUACUGGGCGUAAAGCGCGCGUAGGUGGUUCGUUAAGUUGGAUGUGAAAGCCCCGGGCUCAACCUGGGAACUGCAUCCAAAACUGGCGAGCUAGAGUACGGUAGAGGGUGGUGGAAUUUCCUGUGUAGCGGUGAAAUGCGUAGAUAUAGGAAGGAACACCAGUGGCGAAGGCGACCACCCGGACUGAUACUGACACUGAGGUGCGAAAGCGUGGGGAGCAAACAGGAUUAGAUACCCUGGUAGU
rnacentral:rRNA from 1 species